rnacentral:lncRNA from 1 species
GGGCCACUCCUGAGGCAUGUCGAAGUUCCCAGGCUAGGGGUCAAAUCAGAGCUACAGAUGCUGGCCUAUGCCACAGCCAUGGCCAAACUGCAUCUGUGACCUACACCACAGCACACUGAGUAAGGCCAGGGAUCAAACCCACAUCCUCAUGGAUGCUAGUCAUAUUCAUUUCCACUGCACCACAAUGGGAACUCCCACAGAAUUUUUUAAGGCAGAAAGUUGCAAGGGGAGUUUUCUGAAGUUUAUUGAGGAAGAUGUUCAUAAAUAGUUGAAUAUAAAGUAGAAUGAUCAGAUGAAACAAGGACUAUGUGCACAAAUUGCAAUGAGUUAACAAUACUUGCUUCUUUUUUUUUUUAUUUUCCCAUUGUACAACAAGGGGAUCAAGUUAUCCUUACAUGUAUACAUUACAUUUACAUUUUUCCCCCACCCUUUGUUCUAUUGCAACAUGAGAAUCUAGACAAAGUUCUCAACAGAUGAUUGGAUUCAGAAGAUGUGGUAUAUAUACACAAUGGAAUACUACUCAGCCAUAAAAAAGAAUGACAUAAUGCCAUUUGCAGCAACAUGGAUGGAACUAGAGAAUCUCAUACUGAGUGAAAUGAGCCAGAGAGACAAGGGCAAAUACCAUAUGAUAUCACUUAUAACUGGAAUCUAAUAUCCAACACAAAUGAACAUCUCCUCAGAAAAGAAAAUCAUGGACUUGGAGAAAAGACUUGUGGCUGCCUGAUGGGAGGGGGAGGGAGUGGGAGGGACUGGGAGCUUGGGUUAUCAGACACAACUUAGAAUAGAUUUACAAGGAAAUCCUGAUGAGUAACAUUAAGAACUUUGUCUAAAUACUUGCUUCUUAAUGCACCUAUGUGAAAAAGAAAGGAAGAACCAAUUCAUUCAAAAUGAAAGACUAGGCGUUCCAGUUGUGGCUCAGCAGGUUAAGAAAAUGACUAGUAUCCAUGAAGAUGUGGGUUUGAUCCUUGGCCUUGCUCAGUGGGUUAAAGGAUCCGAUCCAGCAUUGCUGUGCACUGCCACGUAGGGUGGAGAUAGGGUUAAAGGAUCCUGCAUUGCUGUGGCUAUGGCAUAGGGUGGCAGCUGCAGCUCUGUUUUGACUCCUGGCCUGGGAACUUCCAUAUGCUGCAGGUACAGCCCUAACAAGGAAAGAAAGAAAAAGAAAGAAGGUAAAAAAGGAAGGAAGACCAAUAUUAGGAAGAGAGGAGGAAAAAAUUGAAAUAUGUCUACAAUUUUCUCUCUAGAGCAAAAUUACCUACAUUUCUGAGCCCUGGAAAGAAAAUUCCAAAAGCCUCUUCACCAACUAUAAGUAAUUCUGAUUUGUAUCUCCUGCUUGCUGUGAAAAGUACAUUGUCUUAUUCCAAGACAAAUGGAUUAAGAUUUUUAUCUGGAAUAUGCAAUGCCAAUUAUUUAUCUUGCUUGGACUUUCUACCAUUAUGAAAAUAAAGUGCAUAUCUACAUAUUUAUGUCUAUAUAUAUAUGUAUAUAUAUGAAUGACAGGUCAUUCAAAAGUUAUUAAUAAGCAUGUGGUAAUGGCAGUUAUCCAACAAUAAUUAUAUAUUUUCAUUAUUCAUAUUAUGUGCACUAUGUAAAUUAAGGUGAUGUAGUCAUGAAUUCUAAUCCUUGUAAAAACAUAAAUAAAUUGUCUCUUAUACUCACUUUCUUGAGUUAUCAUAAGGGAUGUGGCAUUUUGUCAAAAGCUUUUUCUACAUCUAUUGAGAUUGUCAUAAAUUUUUCCUUUAUUUUGUUAAUAUGAUGUAUCACAUUGAUUGUUUUGUAGAUGUUGAACCAUCCUUACAUCACUGGGAUAAUCCCAUUUGAUCAUAAUAUAUAGUAUAUAUAUAUAUUUUUUUUUCUGUCUUUUUGCUAUUUCUUUGGGCCACUCCCACGGCAUAUGGAGGUUCUUCUACUCCAUUUUCCAAUUUGUUAAUUCAUCUUUAAAAUAUAUCCAGUCGGAGUUUAUGCCCUUAUUCCUUCUGUUGUUUGUUUUUCAAUGAUUCUAUUUUUCCUGCUAUAUUUAAAGUGCACGGCAUUGUUUUAGCAUGUGUAUACACUUCAAAAUGGUUACCACUAUCAAUCUAAUUAACACAUCCAUCACCUUUCAUAGUUAUCUUUCUUUUUGUAGUGAAAAUACUUAAGUUCUCUUAGCACAUUUCAAGUAUGCAAUAUAGUAUUACUACCUAUACUCACCAUAUUGUAUAUUAGAUCUCUAGAAUUUAUUUGUUGGGAGAGUCUUAAGUCUUUAGGCCCCCUACUCAUUUGCAUAAGAAUGGACCAUGGGCUGGGACCACUUCCUCAUCAAGAAAUAACCUAUACUACCUGUGCAGGGCUUAUUACCCUAACUGGAGUAUCUUUCCAAGUUUCAAGCUACAUGAAUGUUCUUUUGAUGUGCUUAAGUGUGAAUAUCAAUGGUCCUCAGGCACCCACCUAACUUUCAGUAUUUCAGGCUCCACGGAGGGGUUGGGGGGUCCUCUUGUUAUAGCACAAUUGCCCUGCAUUUGCUGAAUAGUCAUGAAGGACUAAGACACACAGUUGGAGCUGAUAAUGGUCUAUCUUUUUGCAAUGUGAGUAAAUCAUUGUUGAACACAGUGCUUGACUGUGUUUUGUUUUCCUUUGCAAAUUUGUUACCAAGGUGAAAUAGAGCAUUUGGAGUCCUUCUCUGGGAUUGGUACCCAAUGUAUGGUACUCUGCUCAACAUCAUUCAUCCUGCAUAAAUAAAACUAUUUAUUUUUGUUGACCAAAAUCUCCUGAUUUGUCUUACCCUUCAGCCUCCUGGAAAAUACCAUUCUACUCUCUGCUCACAUGAAUAUUAUUUUUUAGAUUCUCCCCCCCAAAAAAAAAACAUGAAAAAACUUAACGACAGGUUUGACAUUGAGUUAAGCUCAGCUGUUUUUAAGGCGGAGCAGGAGCCACCAGUGAAAAACAAAUGAUUAGUCAUUAGUUGUAAUAUUAAGGCAACUUGAUCUUAACAUUUUAUAUUAUUACUUUUUAAUCUCCUUUGGGGUUGGGGAGACCGGGGAAAAUAGUUUUUAAAACUGCUUGUGUCAUAUUUGGGUUGUAAAUUCAUAAGAUUUGGUACAACAAAGCAGGAUAUGCCAUUCUGAUUUAAAUUAAAAAAUACAAGUGAGGUCAUGUAGCAUUAUCUUUGCAUGUCUGACUUAUUUCACUUAGCAUAAUGCCCUCUAGGUUUAAUAUAUAUUGUUGUAAAUGAUGAUUAUCUUUCUUUUAUAGGGACAAAUAAUAAUAUCUACUGGAUGUGUACAUGC